AAUUCGACAGAUUCCAUGUCACUGAUGUCGUGUUGGAUUCGUGUCGGGUCGACGGAUCGGGUCGACGACCCCACCCCUUAAAUUGGCGGAGACAAGUCGAGUCCUUCGUCGGCGUUACGGCCGCGUCUCUCUUUGGCUCGCACGUAACCCAUCGUUCUCUCGUCGCCGUCUCGCCAUGCUGCGGCCGGUCGAUGCCACCACGGCCACCCUGCAACCCUUCAGCUCCCACCACCCUCUCCUCCUCCUCCUGCACUCCUGCAAGACUCUGGUCCGGAUCAAGAAGGCCCACGCCAAGCUGAUCACUGCCGUUCUCUUCCUCCAUCCCGUCCACCGAGCAAGCUCCUCGAGCUCCUCCCCUCCGCCCUCUGCCGCCGUCACUGCCCCUCCUCCUCUUCUCUCCUACGCCGACCUCGUCUUUUGCCACUCCCCCUCGCAUCCUCUAUUCUCCUAAAACACCCUCGUCAAAGCCCACUCCUCGCCCGCCUCCUUCCUCCUCUGUCCCCAACCAGUACACCUUCGCCUCCCUCCUCGCCGCGUGCGGGCCCCGCGGGCUGGGCUUGGCCGAGGCGGAGCAGGUCAGGGUUCACGCCCUCAAGGGGGGGCUUGAGACCAAUGUGUUCGUUUCCAACGCGGUGGUCCGGGUGUACGGUAGCUUUGGGUCGGUCCACGACGCGCAGAUGGUGUUUGACGGAAGCGCCCGACGGGACAUGUUCUCGUGGGUUUCGUUGAUCGGUGGAUACGUCGGAUGUGGAGAUGUCGACCGUGCGAGGAAGUUGUUUGAUGAAAUGCCGGAGAAAGGAUGUUGUCUCUUGGAGUACUAUUGUUGCGGGAUAUGUGCAGGUAAGAAACUGGGUGUUUUGGUGCGAUCAGCAAGAGUCGUGCUGGAGAAACCUCUUAAUGUUGAUGUUAGGGUUGUCUUCUAUGUGACCACCUGAAUGCUGCCUUCCUUAAACUUCCCAGCCAAUUGUAGGUAGGUUGCUUCUUAGAGGCAAUGAGUUUACUCUCACCACUGUUCUUGCGGCAUGUGCUAAUCUUGUUGCACAAGAACAAGGAAGAUGGAUUCACAUGUUCAUGAAGAAAGAGAGUGUCGAGAUGAACGACAGACUGCUUGCCGGUCUCAUUGACGUGUAUGCAAAGUGUGGGGAGAUAGAAUCCGCCAGGAAUGUAUUCAAUGCUGAAGGCAGUCCCAAAUGCACCGCCCGGCCUUGGAAUGCCAUGCUUAGUGGCUUUGCUAUUCAUGGAAAAUCCGAUGAUGCAGUUAAGCUCUUUGAAAGGAUGAAGGCACUAAACAUCCCUCCAGAUAAAGUGACAUUUGUGUCUUUGCUCAAUGCCUGUAGCAUGAAAGAUUGGUGGAUCAUCAGCGAAUUGGAGCCAAGAAGUUGGAGAGGUGCUGCUUGACAUACAUGAGGAGGACAAGGAGACUGCUUUGUCUAUACAUGGUGAGAAAUUAGCCAUUGCCUUUGGAUUGAUGAACACAGGACAGGAUAAGGUUUCAUCACUUCAAAGAUGGAAUUUGUUCUUGCAAGGAUUACUGGUAGAGAUUCUAUAGUCGACUUCAAACUACUGUUCCCUGACUCGAUAUGAUCUAAAGGGUAUUUGAUGACCACAUAGAAGUCAUUGAGACGUCUACAUUUGCUUCAAGGGAUGGUAAUGCCGGCUUUGGAAUCAACAAAUGUGGAGUUCUCCACUGAAGUGCUCACUCGGAUCUCUCAGGUGAUCAGAUCAAAAAGAUGGGACUAGUUUGAGGAGAUGAGUUCAACGACUUUGCCAAAGGUCAAGGAUGAUGUAUCUGCUCAGCUUAGCUCGACAAAGUUUAGAUCAAAUUUGUGGCUCAAAGAUAUGGUUCUCGCUGGGAUUCAACUCAACUUAUUUUGGUAGCAGUUAAGAGGGUUGGAACUCCUCAGAUUGCUUGAUGUGAGAAUUACACUUGCAGAUGUUUGUUCUAUUGCACAAACGUUAAAUAAUCAGCUUAUUCUCCAAUCAAAUUGGUUUGUUUAUUUUUUGCCUCAAAUUGAGGAGGUGAGGCUGUGAAAUUUGGAUACUCUCCAAUUUUCUAGUAAUCCAUUUGAUUACCAAAUCUA